GUACUGUCAUUAUCAUCCCUGGCGAAAGAGCUUUACGACCCUAGGGCCUUCAUCACUCACGCGGCAUCGCUAGAUCAGGCUUUCGCCCAUUGUCUAAGAUUCCCCA
rnacentral:rRNA from 1 species